rnacentral:rRNA from 1 species
UGGGGAAUAUUGCACAAUGGGGGAAACCCUGAUGCAGCGACGCCGCGUGAACGAAGAAGGUAUUCGUAUCGUAAAGUUCUGUCCUAUGGGAAGAUAAUGACAGUACCAUAGAAGAAAGCUCCGGCUAAAUACGUGCCAGCAGCCGCGGUAAUACGUAUGGAGCGAGCGUUGUCCGGAAUUAUUGGGCGUAAAGGGUACGCAGGCGGUUUAAUAAGUCGAAUGUUAAAGAUCGGGGCUCAACCCCGCAAAGCAUUGGAAACUGAUAAACUUGAGUAGUGGAGAGGAAAGUGGAAUUCCUAGUGUAGUGGUGAAAUACGUAGAUAUUAGGAGGAAUACCAGUAGCGAAGGCGACUUUCUGGACACAAACUGACGCUGAGGUACGAUAGCGUGGGGAGCAAACAGG